UACGUAGGUGACAAGCGUUGUCCGGAUUUACUGGGCGUAAAGAGCGCGCAGGCGGUCGUUCAAGUCGAGUGUGAAAGCCCCCGGCUCAACUGGGGAGGGUCACUCGAUACUGAUCGACUCGAAGGCAGGAGAGGGAAGUGGAAUUCCCGGUGUAGUGGUGAAAUGCGUAGAUAUCGAGAGGAACACCUGCGGCGAAGGCGGGUUGCUGGGCUGACACUGACGCUGAUGCGCGAAAGCCAGGGGAGCGAACGGG
rnacentral:rRNA from 1 species